rnacentral:rRNA from 1 species
CGGUGUAAAAUGAGCUUGCGUCCUAUUAGCUAGUUGGCGGGGUAAAAGCCCACCAAGGCAAUGAUGGGUAGGGGUUCUUAGUGGAAGAUCCCCCACACUGGCACUGAGAUACGGGCCAGACUCCUACGGGAGGCAGCAGUAGGGAAUAUUGGUCAAUGGGCGCAAGCCUGAACCAGCCAUUCCGCGUGCAGGAUGAAGGCUCUACGAGUUGUAAACUGCUUUUGUACAGGAACAAAAAAGCCCCUGCGGGGGUUCUUGAGUGUACUGUAAGAAUAAGCACCGGCUAAUUCCGUGCCAGCAGCCGCGGUAAUACGGAAGGUGCAAGCGUUAUCCGCUUUUAUUGGGUUUAAAGGGUGCGUAGGCGGCUUAUUAAGUCAGUUGUGAAAUCCUAGCGCUCAACGUUAGAACUGCGAUUGAUACUGAUAGGCUUGAGUUAAA